UACGAAGGGUGCAAGCGCUACUCGGAAUUACUGGGCGUAAAGCGUGCGUAGGUGGUUAUUUAAGUCCAUUGUGAAAGCCCUGGGCUCAACCUGGGAACUGCAGUGGAUACUGGAUGACUAGAAUGUGGUAGAGGGUAGCGGAAUUCCUGGUGUAGCAGUGAAAUGCGUAGAGAUCAGGAGGAACAUCCAUGGCGAAGGCAGCUACCUGGACCAACAUUGACACUGAGGCACGAAAGCGUGGGGAGCAAACAGG
rnacentral:rRNA from 1 species